ACCUGGCCAGGGGGCUCGCCCCUCCCGCCGCUCUGCCCGGACGGCUGGCGGGGAGGCGCCCAUGCGGGACCGAGAGGCGCGGUGAGGGCGCGCGGGGGCGGGCGGGGGUGCAGCCGGCACCAUGUCCAUGCUGCCCACCUUCGGCUUCACGCAGGAGCAAGUGGCCUGCGUGUGCGAAGUGCUGCAGCAGGGCGGCAACAUCGAGCGACUGGGCCGCUUCCUGUGGUCGCUGCCCGCCUGCGAGCACCUCCACAAGAAUGAAAGCGUGCUCAAGGCCAAGGCCGUGGUGGCCUUCCACCGGGGCAACUUCCGCGAGCUCUACAAGAUCCUGGAGAGCCACCAGUUCUCGCCACACAACCACGCCAAGCUACAGCAGCUGUGGCUCAAGGCGCACUACAUCGAGGCAGAGAAACUGCGCGGCCGGCCCCUGGGCGCCGUGGGUAAAUACCGCGUGCGCCGCAAGUUCCCGCUGCCGCGCUCCAUCUGGGACGGCGAGGAGACCAGCUAUUGCUUCAAGGAAAAGAGUCGCAGCGUGCUGCGCGAAUGGUACGCGCACAAUCCCUACCCGUCACCACGCGAGAAGCGCGAGUUGGCAGAGGCCACCGGCCUCACCACCACGCAGGUCAGCAACUGGUUCAAGAACCGGCGUCAGCGCGACCGGGCGGCCGAGGCCAAGGAAAGGUACGAGGAGAACAGCGAGAACUCCAAUUCCAACAGCCACAACCCACUGGCUUCCUCGCUCAAUGGCAGCGGCAAGUCGGUGCUAGGCAGCUCGGAAGACGAGAAGACGCCGUCGGGGACUCCAGACCACUCGUCGUCCAGCCCCGCGCUGCUGCUUAGCCCACCACCGCCACCCGGGCUGCCCUCCCUGCACAGCCUGGGCCACCCUCCGGGCCCUAGCGCAGUGCCGGUGCCCGUGCCGAGCGCAGGCGGCGCAGACCCACUGCAACACCACCAUACCCUGCAGGACUCCAUCCUCAACUCCAUGUCUGCCAACCUCGUGGACCUGGGCUCCUAGGAUUCUGUUGUGGACGCGCUUGCUUUCCAGACUUGGCGGGGGAGACCAGAGAAAGGCGGUGCCAGGAGGGCGCCCUGGGCCAGCGGCCCUACCAGGUUCCACUGCGCUGGCUCUCCUCUUCCUCCCAGGACUGUGACCGCGGUGCUCCCGGCAGAGCGCGCCUCCCUAGCCGCGGACUUGCCGUUUCCGUGUUAUGCCCUCAGUGAAUGUUCUUCGGGAGAUAUUUCUGCUUUUAUUUUAUAAUAAAAUUAGAAAUCAUAAAUAUAUAUGGAUAUAUGCCACGAGGCCUGCGGGCCUAGAGUGCAACAGUGUCUGAUUUCCCAACAGGAGCUAGAUAACCCUGGUGGGCUUUUCUGGGCACCCGAGCUCCGAUGAGACCCCUGAAACCGGGAGAUACCUUCCCACGUAAUGUCCCACUCUCUAGGUGAAGGGACGAAAAACUCUGAAACCUCCUGCCCCAAAUACCUUAGUCCGGGUCCUAGGAAAAACUUCCUGCAGAAGCAGGGAGGGAGGCGGCGUGCUUCUCCCCACACCAGCCACCAAUCAGUGCCACUUUGCACUUGGGGUGUAGUGGAGAGCUAUGAAAUCGGGCUCCGGUACUCACGUUUGCAGAUGCUGAGGAUGAGGAGCAAAUUGGGCCAGGAAAGUUUUCUGUCGGACAGACUCCUCGGCGUUGGUCGCAGUCCCCAGAACUGGAGCGAUUCGCCUACCCCAAGGGCAGCCAUUGAGACCUAAGCUCCGGGUGCGCAGCCGGGUGUGGCCGCGACGCAAAGGUCUCUGCACCGCGAACCUGCACUGGGUGCUUCUGUGGGUUUGGCGUGGAGGUGAAGGUUGGGGAAGGAGGAAAUCAGAGAAGACAGGGUAGCGGAGCCGCGGGCGCAUGUUGUAGAUGGGAACAAGUGGGGUGCCUUCAGUCGAAGUAUCAAGCCAAAGGGGUGCCUUCCUGCGUGGUGCACUGCAGGUGCUUCUCAGAUUGUAAAUUAAUCUACAGUACCGCCUCCCUUCCGGCCUUCUAACCCCCUUGCAACCGACACGUUCCGGCCGGUCCCGCCAGAUACAAAAGGGGCAGGACUGCAA